AUACGGAGGGUGCAAGCGUUAUUCGGAAUCACAGGGCGUAAAGGACGCGUAGGCGGGUUGGCAAGUCAGAUGUGAAAUUCUACAGCUUAACUGUAGAACUGCAUUUGAAACUGCUAACCUAGAGUAUGGGAGGGGGAAAUGGAAUUAGUGGUGUAGGGGUAAAAUCCGUAGAUAUCACUAGGAAUACCGAAAGCGAAGGCGAUCUCCUGGAACAUAACUGACGCUAAGGCGUGAAAGCGUGGGGAGCAAACAGGAUUAGAUACCCUAGUAGUCC
rnacentral:rRNA from 1 species